AUUGAACGCUGGCGGCAUGCUUUACACAUGCAAGUCGAACGGUAACAGGUUAAGCUGACGAGUGGCGAACGGGUGAGUAAUGCAUCGGAACGUGCCCGGUCGUGGGGGAUAACGCAGCGAAAGCUGCGCUAAUACCGCAUACGAUCUGAGGAUGAAAGCGGGGGACCGUAAGGCCUCGCGCGAUCGGAGCGGCCGAUGUCAGAUUAGGUAGUUGGUGGGGUAAAGGCUCACCAAGCCGACGAUCUGUAGCUGGUCUGAGAGGACGACCAGCCACACUGGGACUGAGACACGGCCCAGACUCCUACGGGAGGCAGCAGUGGGGAAUUUUGGACAAUGGGCGCAAGCCUGAUCCAGCAAUGCCGCGUGCAGGAAGAAGGCCUUCGGGUUGUAAACUGCUUUUGUACGGAGCGAAAAGGUCUUCCCUAAUACGGGAGGCUGAUGACGGUACCGUAAGAAUAAGCACCGGCUAACUACGUG
rnacentral:rRNA from 1 species